rnacentral:rRNA from 1 species
GACAGAGGGUGCAAGCGUUAAUCGGAAUUACUGGGCGUAAAGGGCGCGUAGGUGGAUGAUCAAGUUAGAUGUUAAAGCCCUGGGCUUAACCUGGGAAUGCCAUUUAAUACUGAUUGUCUAGAGUUAGGGAGAGGAAAGUAGAAUUUCCGGUGUAGCGGUGAAAUGCGUAGAUAUCGGAAAGAAUACCUGAGGCGAAGGCGGCUUUCUGGCCCAUAACUGACACUGAGGCGCGAAAGCGUGGGGAGCAAACAGG